UGGGGAAUAUUGCACAAUGGGCGCAAGCCUGAUGCAGCCAUGCCGCGUGUAUGAAGAAGGCCUUCGGGUUGUAAAGUACUUUCAGCGGGGAGGAAGGGAGUAAAGUUAAUACCUUUGCUCAUUGACGUUACCCGCAGAAGAAGCACCGGCUAACUCCGUGCCAGCAGCCGCGGUAUUACGGAGGGUGCAAGCGUUAAUCGGAAUUACUGGGCGUAAAGCGCACGCAGGCGGUUUGUUAAGUCAGAUGUGAAAUCCCCGGGCUCAACCUGGUAACUGCAUCUGAUACUGGCAAGCUUGAGUCUCGUAGAGGGGGGUAGAAUUCCAGGUGUAGCGGUGAAAUGCGUAGAGAUCUGGAGGAAUACCGGUGGCGAAAGCGGCCCCCUGGACGAAGACAGACGCUCAGGUGCGAAAGAGUGGGGAGCAAACAGG
rnacentral:rRNA from 1 species